AUGGUAAAUGGCUCAUGCAUCAUGCAAUCUAAUGAAUACAGCGACCAAGUUGCUGACGUUACCUUUCCUGCUGUCAAUCCGCAUCUGGCCACGCCCAUUACAAGCCUGCUUUAUCUGUCAAUCACCGCCAGGCCACACCCGCCUCAAGUACGCUCUUUCUGUCAAUCACCGCCAGGCCACGCCCGCCUCAAGUACGUUCUUUCUGUCAAUCACCGCCAGGCCACGCCCCUCCCGUGCGUCUUACACAAACAGCAGCAGCUCGAGAGAGUAAAUAGAGAAAAGAUGGCGGAGUUCAUUCAGCUCAACAAACCCACCGAACCGAAACCAGCGUCCCAGAACCGGGAGCACCACCAUCAUCCUCCACCGGCCAAGAAGAUCCGACACGAGGAGAAGAUAUUUAAAGCCAAGAAGAUGAACGGAGACACGGAGCAGCAGAAUUACAGCAGCAAACCGAAAAACAAGAAAACCAAAACCGAGAAAGACCGAGACCGAGAGAAGGAUAGAGAGCGAGAGAAAGGCAAAGAAAAAGAGAGGAAGAAACACAAAGUGGCGGCUGAAAAUCACCUCGGUGUGAAGAAGGAGAACGGAGAGCUGAAGCUGUCGCAGAAAGACCACAUUAUCAAAGACAAAGAGAAACAGAGAGACAGAGAUGGCGAGAAGAAGAGAGAGAGAGAGAAGGACAGAGAAAAAGAGCAGGAGAAAGAGAUGAAGGAGAAAAGAAAGCAUAAGCUGAUGAUGGAGAUGAAGAGAGAGAAUGGAGAGGUGAAGAUCCUGCAGAAAGGUGAGCUGUGUUUGACCUCUGACCUCGCAUGCAUGUGGACACUCGGGUUCACUUCUUGACAUGCACAUAAUUUAUCAUUUUAAUAAUUAGCACCUAGUAUUAAAAUAUGUUGUGUUCCUAAACAGAGCUUUAGACAGAUGCUGGUCACUGAAAGACUCGUGAGAAAGAGUGAAUCUGCUCAAACCUUUCUCCUCGGGGUGCGCCGAUCAAACCUUCAGG
ensembl:lncRNA